rnacentral:rRNA from 1 species
GACGAACGCUGGCGGCGUGCCUAAUACAUGCAAGUAGAACGCUGAAGGAGGAGCUUGCUUCUCCGGAUGAGUUGCGAACGGGUGAGUAACGCGUAGGUAACCUGCCUGGUAGCGGGGGAUAACUAUUGGAAACGAUAGCUAAUACCGCAUAAGAGUAGAUGUUGCAUGACAUUUGCUUAAAAGGUGCAAUUGCACCACUACCAGAUGGACCUGCGUUGUAUUAGCUAGUUGGUGGGGUAACGGCUCACCAAGGCGACGAUACAUAGCCGACCUGAGAGGGUGAUCGGCCACACUGGGACUGAGACACGGCCCAGACUCCUACGGGAGGCAGCAGUAGGGAAUCUUCGGCAAUGGACGGAAGUCUGACCGAGCAACGCCGCGUGAGUGAAGAAGGUUUUCGGAUCGUAAAGCUCUGUUGUAAGAGAAGAACGAGUGUGAGAGUGGAAAGUUCACACU